AUGACCGAGGACGCCAGAGGGCGAGCGGUCAACCCGGCCUGCCCCAACUCCGCCAACCCCUUCCACCGCUGCGCCGAGUACUGCCCGGUCGCCGCGCCCGCGGGCAAGUCCCCGCCGCCGCCGCAGCCUGGCCGCGCGGCGCAGAACGGGACCGGAGCGCGCGGCGACGGAGCGGGAGGGGCGAGGCAGCAGGCGGUCAACCCGGACUGCCCCAACGCCGACAACCCCUUCCACCGCUGCGCCGACUACUGCCCCGUCGCGGCCCCGGCGGUGAAGUCGCCCCCUCUGCCGCCGGGCCUCGGGGGCCAGAACGGGAGGACGCACAGCGACGGCGACCUGCAGCCCAGGACGCGCCGCCGCGACAGGGCCGGCGGCUCCGGCGGCGGCCUCCCCCUCUACGUCUUCCUGCGUGAAGGCUCCUCGGACGGGGAAGGCAAGAAGGUGGAUCCCCGGUGCCCCAACGCGCCCAACCCGUUCCACGUCUGCACCAACCACUGCCUCGCCAAGAUAGUCGAGGGUGGCCGCUCGUCGGAGGGCGGCAAAUCCCCCAUUUCCCUCUUCUCCCGCCACUCCGGCCGCUCCACCUCCUCCUCGGAAGAUGGCAGCGUCAAGUCCGGGGGCAGCAAGAAGGCGGAUUCAAAGUGCCCGAAUUCUGGCAACCCUUUUCAUGAAUGUGGAGAGCAUUGCACCACCAAGAUGAAGGAACUGGAGAAGCAGAAGAAAGCCGAUAAGAAGUCGCCGCGCAAGAAAGGUGGGAAGGAUGGCGCCGUGGUGCAAAAUUGGAAGGUCGAUCCGAGGUGCCCAAAUGCGGGCAACCCAUUCCAUAUAUGCGCCCAGUACUGUUUCGAUCAUUUGAAUGAAGCGCCAUCAACACCUAAAAGCAAGCCAGACUCAAGAAAGGGAAAGGCUGUCAUGAAAUCAGAGCCAACAGGAGAAAUCAAUCCUGAUUGUGUCAAUGCAUCCAAUCCGUAUCAUAAAUGUGGAGAAUAUUGCAAAAGAAAUGGCAACAGAUAG
rnacentral:rRNA from 1 species